UUUAACGACCGCUCGCUCGCUUGACCUCAGAACCAUCAAAACGAUCCACUAUACCUAUUUGUAGCACGACACGAUUUGCCUCUUGCCUAUUUCUCCUCUUCGUCUCCCUCUCGCAAUUUGUCGAUCUUCGCUGGAACCCGAUGAGUUACCGCCUCCACGAUCGCCGUCAAGACUGGCGGCCGGGAAGGUCUUACAAGUGGCGGGAGCAGCAUCCGCCGCCGCCGCCGUUGACCUAUCGUGGGCAGCCGUCGGGUCCUUGUCCCCAUCCGGUUCGUGAACAACCGUUGCCUCCGAUUUCGUCGUCUUGCUUUACUCUUGUCCUCCGACGCCGCCCCAGCGGCCGUGGAUUCCCUUGCCCCAAGGUAAUUGAAGACCUAAUCUCUAACUGCCCGGCGGUCCCCAGCGAUUUCUUCGUCUGUGGAGACGGACCGGUUGCUGCGAAGUUAUUUUUUCAGCAGUGGUGUCAUGUCCUAGAGGCGCUUGCUUUUUUCUGGCGCCUUCGUCUCCAAAGCAUUCACCUGCUGACGCCGUCGCUGAUUUCCACGGUCUCGGUCCCUUCCGAUCGCGAUGAGUUGGAGGAACGCCUGCGAGUACUCUUUACGAGUCACAUCAACGUUUUGCUGGAAGGGAGUUCGGUUCAGAAAAUUAAUUGUAGGAUUGGUGAGGUUUCUGCAGAGUUGAAGAAAGUUGGGAAAUGCCUUUCCCGACCCCAGCUCUGGGGGGUUAAUACGAAGUUGCAGGAAGACAGGAAGAGUCUGGAAGAGGAAUUAGGGUUGCUGAAGGAUAGGCUGGAAGAAUUCCGUGCUGCUAUGAGUUGCUUGCUUGAUCACAUUGGCGGGAAGAAGCAUCUUGGGACUCAGGAGGAAGGGCAGGUUGAGAUUUUUAGAUUUGGUGCUGAACUUGACUGGGCCCGGAUUCACCAUAUCAUUUUGAGGGAGUGCAAGAGACUCGAUAGUGGUUUGCCUAUAUACUCUUGCCGGAGGGAAAUUCUAAGGGGCGUAUCUUCUAAUCAGGUUGUAGUCUUGAUUGGGGAGACAGGUUCUGGAAAGAGUACACAGCUGGUACAGUUUCUUGCUGACUCUGGCUUAGCUACUAAUGGAUCUAUUAUCUGCACUCAACCCCGCAAGAUUGCUGCUAUGACGCUUGCAAGGAGGGUCUGUGAAGAAACUAUUGGGUGUCAUGCAGACAACUUCGUCAGUUCGCAUGCUUCCUCCUCAGUCUUGCAGAGGUUAAGUUCUGGGAUAAUAUAUAUGACGGAUCACUGUCUACUGCAACGCUAUAUGAAUGAUUCAAGUUUAAGUGGCAUUUCACACAUCAUUGUUGAUGAAGCUCAUGAAAGAAGUCUGAGUACUGAUCUCUUAUUGGCAUUAAUUAAGAAAAAAAUGCUUGAGAGAUUUGAUUUACGUAUUAUAAUAAUGUCUGCUACUGCUGAUGCUAUCAAACUGGCAGAUUUUUUUUAUGAUUGUUGCACCUUUCAUGUCAAAGGGAGGACUUUUCCUGUUGAUAUCAAAUAUGUUACUGAUGUGUCUAAUGAGGGACUUUGGUGUAAGAUUCCAAAACAUAUCCCUUUCAAUUAUCCUUCAUACCUUUCUGAUGUUAUUAAGCUGGUGGGCAUAAUUCACAAUAAGGAGGAGGGUGGUGGAAUUCUGGCAUUUUUGACUUCUCAAACUGAAGUAGAAUGGGCUUGUGAAAACUUUAGGGAUUCUUCAGCAGUGGUCUUACCUUUGCAUGGAAAACUUUCUCACGAAGACCAAGUCCGUGUUUUUAAUAAUUACCCAGGGAAGAGAAAAAUAAUUUUUUCGACAAAUGUGGCAGAGACUUCUCUUACUAUACAUGGUAUCAAAUAUGUGGUUGACUCUGGCAUGGUUAAGGAGAGCAGAUUUGAAGCAAGUACUGGCAUGAAUUUGCUGAAGGUUUCAUGGACCAGUCAAAGUUCAGCCAAUCAGAGAUCUGGCCGAGCAGGUAGAACAGAACCGGGCAAAUGCUACAGGAUUUAUUCUAAGUCAGAUUUCCAGUCAAUGCCAGUGCAUCAAGAGCCUGAAAUUCGUAAAGUUCACCUUGGAAUCGCACUUUUGAGGAUCCUUGUCUUGGGCAUGAAGAAUGUACAGGACUUCGAGUUUGUUGAUGCUCCGAGCCCAGAGGCGAUUGACAAAGCAAUGCAGAAUCUGGUCCAGUUGGGCGCUGUGGUAUGCAAAAAGCAUUUUUUUGAGCUUACUGAUACUGGUCGUGCUUUUGUUAAAUUAGGCAUUGAGCCUCGGCUUGGCAAAAUAAUACUUGAAUCAUUUUCAUGUGGAUUGAGGAAGGAGGGUGUCGUACUUGCUGCGGUUAUGGCAAAUUAUAGUAGUAUAUUUUGUCGAGUUGGCAGCGAUGAUGAUAAGCGAAAAGCUGACCGCUUAAAGAUCCCUUUUUGCCACCGUGAAGGAGAUCUUUUUACUCUGCUUUCUGUUUACAUGGAAUGGGAAAGUGUAGACACAAAUAAAAACCAUUGGUGCUGGCAGAAUAGCAUCAAUGCCAAGUCGAUGGGAAGAUGUCACGAAACUGUAUUGGAGUUAGAAAACUGCCUCAAACAUGAGCUCAAUAUGAUAACUCCCAGCUAUUUUUUAUGGAAUCCGCAUAAACCUAGUGAAUAUGAUAAGGAUCUAAAGAAGAUCAUACUCUCUUCUCUUGUGGAGAAUGUAGCUAUGUACACUGGAUAUGAUCGACUUGGUUAUUUAGUGGCUUUAACAGGGCAAAAACUGCAGCUUCAUCCUUCCUGUUCACUGCUGAUGUAUGGGCAGAAGCCAAGCUGGAUAGUAUUUACUGAAAUAUUAUCAAGCGAAAAUCAGUAUCUGGUUUGUGCUACUUCUGUUGACUAUGAAAGCCUGUGUGAGAUUCAGCUUCCUCUUAAUCUUGCACGAUUGGAGGAGCAGAAGAUGCUUGAGAAGAUUAUUAGCGGGCUUGGAAAUAAUAUGCUUCGAAGGUUAUGUGGCAAGUCAAACCACAACAUUGAAAGCAUUAUGUCAUACAUUCAGAAAGAAUGCAUGGACGAACACAUCCAUAUUAGAGCUGAUUUCGAUAGAAGAGAGAUUCAGUUAUUUGCCGCUGCAAGGAAUUUGGAAAAGGUUUCUUCCAUGGCUACUGAUAUUUUAGAGUGUGAAAAAAGAUUGUUGAAGGACGAGUGCAUCGAGAAAUGCUUGUUCAUUGCUGUUCCUGGAAGUUUUCCCUCCUUUGCACUAUUUGGUUCCGGUGCUGAAAUUAGGCAUUUGGAACUCGACAACCGGUGUUUAACAGUGGAAAUAUUCCAUCCUUGUGCACGUGAUGUGAAUGAUAUGGAACUUAUUCUGCUGAUUGACAAGAAUAUCUCAGGUAUAGCUAACUUCUCUAUAGUUGGAGGGAAUGGGCAAGAUGGACCAGACUCCUGUAAGUGGGGCAAAGUAACAUUUCUUAAACCUGAAGAUGCACAGAAAGCCAUAACUAAGUUAAACGGGUUAGAAUUUCACGGGAACUUUUUAAAAGUGGUGCCUGCAAUGGUAGCAGAACGUAGAAAUUUACCUUUUCCUUCUGUGAGGACAAAAGUCUGUUGGCCUCGAAGGCCUAGCAAGGGAGUUGCACUUGUUGAAUGUUCUGCUGAGAAUGCUGAAUUUAUUGUCAGCAAUUGUGAACCUAUCUUUGUUGGAGGAGGUUAUGUAGGUUGUUCUGUCAGCACGAAGUACCCAAACUGUCUUUUUGUGACAGGAAUUCGAAAAGAUGUUUCGGAAUCGGAAAUAUAUAAUGAUUUUCAAAAUGUAACUAAGGGGAAAAUUAACGGUGUUAAACUUUUGAGGGGAGAUCCUAUCAAUACCCUUCCAGUUGAUAGUUGUGAACGCGCACUUGUUCAAGAAAUUGCUCCUUUGAUGCCUAAUAGGCAGCACUCUUUGAGAAGUUUUCGGGUUGAAGUUUUUGAGUCCGAGCCAAGUGAUUGUAUGGUGAGAGCAGCUAUCAGUUUUGAUGGAAGUUUACAUCUAGAGGCAGCAAAGGCUUUGGAUCAUCUCCAAGGAAAAGUCCUUCCUGGCUGUCUCCCAUGGCAGAAGAUAGAAUGUCAGGAUAUGUUUCGUAGUUCCAUUUCUUGUUCUGCACGGAUUUUUUCAGUCAUCAGAGAACCGCUGGUGUCUUUGCUUGAAAUGUUUAAAAUUCAGAAAGGUGUAACCUAUUCAGUGGAUAGAAAUCUCAAUGGUUCCUACCGAGUGAAGUUAUCGGCUCAUGCAACCAAGAUUGUUGCAGAUCUGAGGAAACCUCUUGAGAAUCUGAUGAGAGGAAAGGCCCUGACUCAUCCUGGCCUAACUCCUACAAUGAUGCAGCUCCUAUUUUCUCGUGAUGGCAUCAUUCUUAUCAAGUCUUUAGAGAGGGAGACUGGAACUUACAUUUUCUAUGACAAACAUAACCUUCGCAUUAAGCUGUUUGGCGCUCCAGAAAAAUGUGUUGGGGUUGAGGAAAAACUGGUUCAAUCCUUGCAAAAUCUUAAUGCGAACAGGCAACUAGAAAUUCGCCUUCGAGGUCACAAUCUUCCUGCAAAUCUAAUGAAAGAGGUCAUCUUGAGAUUUGGUGCUGACCUUCAAGGGCUUAGGUUGCUUGUUCCUGGGAUUGAGUUAACUCUUAACACCCGGUGGCAUGUCCUAUAUGCUCGGGGCAGCAUGGAGCAAAAGCAAAAGGUGGAAGAGGUUAUUUCUGGUAUGGCACUCUCCCUAGGCAGCGACUGUCUUCCUGCAUUAGCCAUUCCUGAAACCAUGUGUCACAUUUGCUUGUGUGAGCUGGAUGAACCCUUCUGUCUUGAAUCAUGCGGGCACAAGUUCUGUCAGGCCUGCCUGGUGAACCAAUGUGAGGCAGCUAUAAGGUCUCGGGAUGGGUUUCCGCUGAGGUGUGCUAAGGAGGGCUGCCAGGACCGUUUUCUACUCACUGACCUAAAAGCCCUUCUUCUUGGAGAGAGGCUGGACGAACUCUUCCAGGCCUCGAUCAUCUGGUUUGUAUCAAAAAGUGGUGGGGAAUACCGCUUCUGCCCCACUCCAGACUGUCCAGGGAUCUACAAAAUGGCUACCUCGGAGGAGCAGGCUGUGGCUGAUGGACCCUUUGUGUGUGGAGCUUGCUCUGUUGAAAUAUGUACUUGGUGCCACUUGGAAUAUCAUGCAUUAAUCAGCUGUGAGCGGUACAGGGAGUACAAAGACAAUCCUGAUUUUUCACUAUUUAAUUGGAGAUUGGGGAAGGAGAAUGUGAAGGAUUGCCCUGUCUGUAAGCAUGUGAUUGAAAAGAUUGAUGGGUGUAACCAUAUCGAGUGCCGGUGCGGCCGGCAUAUAUGUUGGGUAUGCCUUGAGGUAUUUACGACCGGUGAUGGCUGCUACUCACACCUCAGAUCAUGUCAUGAUAUAUGAUUUAAUAAAUGUUUGCAUAAAUGAUGUUUUCUUGGUACAUCUGAUGUAUAUAUGGAAGUGUAUAUGUAUGCAUGUAUAGAGUUAUAUAUGUAUGUAAAUGGCAUUGAAGUAGUAAUAUGCUAAGAAUUGAUGGAGAUUGCAAAGGAAGCACGCUGUAUGCACCCCGUCAAGGAAGAUGUUUCACAUACUAUGCCCUCAAUAACUUUCCACAUUGUAAAACUGAUAUAUUGCUGAAGAUAUGUGUUUAUGUUUAUCUAACCAAACAAGAGGGACAAGUUCCUCGGUCUCCUCUGCUUCUGCAAAGUGGACACCUAGGCUCUUCUUGCAAAGGUUCAUAAUUUGGCAACCAUCUUGACAUGGGGAGGGAAGAAGGGGUUGUGCCCAUUAAUCUCACAACCCGGUCUCGCUCUGGGUGCGUGGGAGAGUUUAUCAGGAAAGUUGCUUUUGUUCUCACACAUGUUCCUCAGUCAUCUAGAUUUUUGCAUGGUUAAGAUUUCAAGCAGCGAAAAGAUAAUAGUUGGUUACUUUUUACAAAUCUUAUGUUCUUUAGAUAUUUUAUCUCAACCAUUCUAGAUGGUGUAAGUAGUGUGAGGAGUUGUAAGUGGGAUAUAAAACUUACGAUGAUGAUGAUUAUGGGCACAUAAAACAGUUGCAUUGGGCUAAUUAGCUGAGCAGCAACAGACUUAUUCCAGUAGUUUGUAGAAGAACGGGGCAAUAUUAGCCGCUAGGAGUUGUAAGUGGCAUGCACUUUCCUUCAGCAAUUUCGCAAUUUCAUUUUGUUAUGGGUGGAGGAUGACUAAUUGAAGAUUUAUAUGCACAUGGGGCCAUUUAAUGGCGAUGAGGGUUUUAACUAAAGCCAGAGUGCUAAUUUUUUUGAGUUCCGGUAUAUGCUUGAUUUCAAGAGGCUGAUGGAACCCUGCAAUUUUACCUGGUUGGUUUCUUUCGUUGCUCUACUUUGGUUAUGUUUGGAAUUUAGGGAAGUGAUGGAAAUGCUUUGUAAUUUGUUCUGUAGCUUGAAACUAGUUCCUAGAUUUAGUUUUUCGGCACAUUUUCCCGAUUAAUCUCACUUUGUUCACGCCAUCCAAACAGAGAGUUUAUAGAUCCUUAUCUUAAAAUUUUGUGGUUUAUGUUGUCA